rnacentral:rRNA from 1 species
ACGAACGCUGGCGGCAUGCCUAACACAUGCAAGUCGAACGAGACCUUCGGGUCUAGUGGCGCACGGGUGCGUAACGCGUGGGAACCUGCCCUUAAGUUCGGAAUAACUCCCCGAAAGGGGUGCUAAUACCGGAUAAUGUCUUCGGACCAAAGAUUUAUCGCCUUUGGAUGGGCCCGCGUUGGAUUAGCUAGUUGGUAGGGUAAAAGCCUACCAAGGCGACGAUCCAUAGCUGGUCUGAGAGGAUGAUCAGCCACACUGGGACUGAGACACGGCCCAGACUCCUACGGGAGGCAGCAGUGGGGAAUAUUGGACAAUGGGCGAAAGCCUGAUCCAGCAAUGCCGCGUGAGUGAUGAAGGCCUUAGGGUUGUAAAGCUCUUUUACCCGGGAUGAUAAUGACAGUACCGGGAGAAUAAGCGCCGGCUAACUCCGUG